CUGGGGCAGACAAGGCUGGUCACACCAGACGAGUGCCCUGGACUAUGGCAGGGCCAGGCUGAGAACUUCCCAAAUGCAGGCAGUUGAUAUUCCACCCCAAGCCUCCCUUUCCUCGCUCCCUAAGCUUUGAUCUUGCACUGGGGUCCACUCCACAGACCUAUCGCAUGAUUCACUCGGUUGAUUACUCUCAAAGUUAUUGACCUUAGGAAAAUUCCUCAACUGUAAAAAGGCUUUCUCUCUAUGUAAAUUAUGCUGUUACCUUUUUCUAUACACAAAGUAUAUAUACCUAUAAAUAUUAUACAUAUAUAUUAUAUAUAUAAAAACUAAUUCUUGUACAGACCAACACGGACCGAUGGUCCAUACUGUUUUCUCCUCAUGUCUGUCUGUGCUGACUGUUGCAGAAUGAGUUGAUGUAAGAAAUUGGUUUCAUGUUUUCCUUUUGCAGUCACUUCUUUCCUCUCCUCUCCCUUUCUAUCUCUGUCUGUCUGGGUCGCUGUCUCUCUCUCUCUCUCACUCGUUGCCAAUGUCUCAUUCCUGGGAAAGAACAUUCAAUUCAGAUGCCAUCCAGGAAAGGAAGGCCAGAUGGAUGGAGGGUCCACUGUGUAUAUUUGUACAGAAUCAUUUAUAAAGUUUUCUACACUUCUCAAAAAAGUAUUUCUAACUUGGGCUGUUGGACAGUUUGUGAGCCUCCAAGCCGGCAAGCCUAUUGUUUCUUGUGUUUAGUGCAAUGUUUAGUGAGAAUCCAAUGUCUGAAUUAUUUAUGCCAAUAAAGAAUUUGAGAAUUACUGCAUCA